rnacentral:rRNA from 1 species
UACAGAGGGUGCGAGCGUUGUCCGGAAUCACUGGGCGUAAGGGGCGCGUAGGUGGCGACCCAAGUCCGUGGUGAAAGCUCGUCGCUUAACGACGAGUCGGCCACGGAGACUGGGUGGCUUGAGCACUGUAGGGGCUAAUGGAAUUCCGGGUGUAGCGGUGGAAUGCGUAGAGAUCCGGAAGAACACCAGUGGCGAAGGCGGCCAGCUGGGCCGUUGCUGACGCUGAGACGCGAAAGCGUGGGGAGCGAACAGG